rnacentral:misc_RNA from 1 species
UACGGAGGGUGCAAGCGUUAAUCGGAAUUACUGGGCGUAAAGCGCGCGUAGGCGGUUGACUAAGUCAGGUGUGAAAGCCCCGGGCUUAACCUGGGAAUUGCAUUUGAUACUGGUCAGCUUGAGUCUGGGAGAGGGAAGGGGAAUUCCGGGUGUAGCGGUGAAAUGCGUAGAUAUCCGGAGGAACACCAGUGGCGAAGGCGCCUUCCUGGCCUAAGACUGACGCUGAGGUGCGAAAGCGUGGGGAGCAAACAGG